rnacentral:rRNA from 1 species
AUUGAACGCUGGCGGCAGGCCUAACACAUGCAAGUCGAGCGAGCGGCGGAGGGGGGAGUAAUGUAUGGGGAAUGUCCGAUAGAGGGGGAUAACUACUGGAAAAGGUAUCUAAAAACGCACACGAUCGGAUUACCCAGAUGGGAUUGGCUAGUAGGGGAGGUAAUGGCUCACCUAGGCGACGAUCCCUAGCUGGGCUGAGAGGAUGAUCAGCCACACUGGGACUGAGACACGGCCCAGACUCCGACGGAGGCAGCAGUGGGGAAUAUUGCACAAUGGGCGAAAGCCUGAUGCAGCCAUGCCGCGUGUAUGAAGAAGGCCCUAGGGUUGUAAAGUACUUUCAGUCGGGAGGCGUUACCGACAGAGGAAGCACCGGCUAACUACGUGCCAGCAGCCGCGGUAAUAC